CAGGACGAACGCUGGCGGCGUGCUUCAUACAUGCAAGUCGAACGAGAAAUUACCUUCGGGUAAUGGAAAGUGGCGGACGGGUGAGUAAUAUGUAGAGAAUCUGCCUUCAAGCGGGGGAUAGCAGUUGGAAACGACUAUUAAUACCCCAUAUGAGCGUAACUGAAAUGUUAUUCUUGAAAAACUCCGGUGCUUGGAGAUGAGUCUGCAUCUGAUUAGCUAGUUGGGGGUGUAAUGGACCACCAAGGCGACGAUCAGUAGCUGGUUUGAGAGGAUGAUCAGCCACAAUGGGACUGAGACACGGCCCAUACUCCUACGGGAGGCAGCAGUAGGGAAUUUUGCGCAAUGGGCGAAAGCCUGACGCAAGCAACGCCGCGUGAUCGAGACGCUUUUCGGAGUGUAAAGAUCUGUCACAGGGGACGAACGAUGACGGUACCCUGAGAGGAAGCACCGGCUAACUCCGUGCCAGCCGCCGC
rnacentral:rRNA from 1 species